UCCCUGGUGGUCCAGUGGUUAAGGAUCUAUGCUUCCAAUACAGGGGGCAUGGGUUCGAUCCCUAGUCAGGGAA
rnacentral:tRNA from 1 species